AUGGAUUUGUGGCUGAUUUGGGUUUUCCUUGUUGCUCUGUUAAAAGGUGUCCAGUGUGAGGUGCAGCUGGUGGAGUCUGGAGGUGGCCUGAUGCGGCCUGGCAGGUCCCUGCAACUCUCCUGUGCAGCCUCUGGAUUCACCUUCAGUGGCUACUGGAUGGGUUGGGUUCACCAGGCUCCAGGGAAGGGGCUGGAGUGGGUUGCAGAAAUUAAUGGAGACAGCAGUGACACAAAGUAUACACCGUCCUUGAAGGAUCGAUUCACCAUCUCCAGAGACAAUGCCAAGAACACUCUGUACCUGCAAACGAACACUGUGAAGUCUGAGGACACCGCCACAUAUUACUGUGCUAGGCCCUCCACAGUGAGAGGAUCUCAGUGUGUUCAGUGUGUGGUGCAGCUGGUGGAGUCUGGGGGUGGCCUGGUGAAGCCUGGAGGGUCCCUGAAACUCUACAGUGUAGCCUCUGGAUUCACCCUCAGUGGCUACUGGAUGUACUGGUUGUGCCAGGCUCCCGGCAAGGGCCUGGAUUGGGUUGGAGAAAUUAAUAAAGAUAGCAGUUACACAAUGUAUGCACCAUCCGUGAAGGGCCGGUUCACCAUCUCCAGAGACAAUGCCAAGAACACUCUGUACCUGCAAAUGAACAGUGUGAAGUCUGAGGACACCGCCACUUAUUACUGUUCUAGAUACACACACA